CUUAGUGUGGACCCGACCCGGACCCAACCGCAACGGUUUAACUACUCACCUUCCGAACAUGAACUUGACGCGCUAUUACAAAACAGAAAAUCCUUCCUCUCAUUACAUAUUUCUUGUUUCUCUAAUCAUGGGUUCCGUUGAGCUGCAAGGUACUAGUGGAAGAAGAUCAUCACUAGAGAUUGUUAAUAAGAGUGGUGGAGAGUUAAAAGAGAUGAAUAGUGAAAAGAAGAGUAAUAAGAAAUCUUCAUAUUUUAGAAAAUUUGGAUGCUUGAAAAUUGAAGAGGAUAAUGAAAAAGGGAGUGUUGUGGAGACAACAGGAGAGCCUGUAAAUCCUACUCACCUAAUUAUUAUGGUUAACGGUAUCGUUGGCAGUGCUCAAGAUUGGAAAUUUGCGGCUAAGCAGUUUUUGAAGAAGUAUCCCAGAGACGUUGUUGUUCACCGCAGCAAAGUUAAUUCAUCAAUGUUGACAUUUGAUGGUGUAGAUGUAAUGGGAGACAGACUAGCAGAAGAGGUGAUAUCAGUGAAGAAAAGACACCCAUCUGUUCAGAAGAUCUCAUUCGUUGGCCAUUCAUUAGGUGGGUUGAUUGCAAGAUAUGCUAUUGCUAGGCUAUAUGAACGAGAUAUCACCAAGGAAAUUUCUCAUGAAACCGGCAAUUGUAAAAGUGAUGAAUCUGAAGAUAAAGAUAACUGCGUGCAAGAGAAAUCCAGAGGCACAAUUGCUGGAUUGGAGCCCAUGAAUUUCAUAACCUCUGCCACUCCACAUCUUGGUUCGAGGUUUCAUAAGCAGGUCCCAAUGUUUUGUGGCUUUUACACUCUGGAAAAAGCAGCUGCUCGAAUUGCUGGGUUUCUUGGUAGGACUGGAAAACAUCUGUUUUUGACUGAUGUUGAUGGUGGAAAACCUCCGCUUCUUUUUCAGAUGACUAGUGACUCUGAAAAUCUUAAUUUUAUAUCUGCUUUGGAAUCCUUUAAGCGUCGUGUGGCAUAUGCAAAUGCAAGUUUUGACCACAUUGUGGGAUGGUGCACAUCAUCUUUACGGCGAAGAGAUGAACUCCCUAAGAGACAACAUCUCUCAAGACAUGAGAAAUAUCCACAUAUUGUUAAUGUGAAGACAACAGAAAAUGCAAGCCCUCAGCAUGAAAUAUCAGAGGUCAAAGCUUAUGAUUGCAAGACUAUUGACAUGGAAGAGGAAAUGAUCAGAAGCUUGACACAGUUGAGCUGGGAACGAGUUGAUGUUAACUUAAGUGGAAGUAUGCAAAGGUUCUUGGCGCACAGCACCAUUCAGGUGAAAAUCUCCUGCAUCAAUUCUGAUGGGGCUGACGUUGUCCAACACAUGGUUGACAAUUUUCUUUUGUGAAAGGGUUGAAGGUGUGUGAUGAGAUAAUUUUUUCAGCCCAGAAGAACUUUCCCUGGGUGUAAAAUAUUUUCUUUUGUAGCCCAGUUAGGAACAGCGCAGCCCCUUGUUAUUGAAGCCUCAGCUAGCUCGUUCUUGACUUCCUUCCGAGGAUCAAAAACCAAGGUUGGGCGAUAUGAAGCUCGAGGAGGAGCUGUCGUAGUUCGAUGCAACAAGUCACAAGCACAUGGUACGAAUCAAACGGAUUUUCGCUCUUUUCCCCGAGACUCAGCGUGAUAGCUUGCAGGCAAAAACCAUACCUUCCAUACUCAGAUAAUUGCAGUUCCCCAAAUAUGGGCUUCUCAAGCAAACUCGAUAGAUCAUGCUCCUACUCCCUAGAAGCAUACCCUCAAACAGUAUCCGCCUUGGGAAAUAUAUUCUCAUACUCUUUCCAAGACAAGAAAGAAAAUGACUUGGCGUGUCAAGUUGAGACUGCCAACACUGUUCAAAUCCCAACCCUACUUAAGCAAGCAAUACGAACGUGAAGGAAGACAAAUGAAAGCAGAGAAACGAAAGGAACCCGUUAUGUCAUUCUAUCAAUACCACCUGUGAUAAAUCAUAGACACAUGUCCUUUCAGUAGAUUAAGAAAUCUCACAUCUAUCAUUUGGUGUAAGUGAGGGGUUUAUAUUUUUGUCUUUCUACUUGGAUUGAUUCACCAAUUCAUUUCUCUUCCUCCGCCU